rnacentral:tRNA from 1 species
GGUGGCUCAGUGGUAGAGUGCUUGCCUUUCAUACAAGAGACCCUGGGUUCGAUUCCUCAGCACCA